UUAGAGUUUGAUAGUGGCUCAGGAUGAACGCUGGCGGUGUGGAUAAGGCAUGCAAGUCGAAAGGGUUAGACCCUUGGCAAACGGGCUAGUAACACGUAGGAAUCUACCUCGAAGUCGUGAAUAAUCAUUCGAAAGGAUGGAUAAUACACGAUACACUCUCCGGAGUAAAGAUUUAUCGCUUUGAGAGGAGCCUGCGUCCUAUCAGCUUGUUGGUGGUGUAAUGGACCACCAAGGCUAUGACGGGUAGGGGGUGUGAGAGCAUGACCCCCAGCAUUGGCACUGAGACACUGGCCAAACACCUACGGGUGGCUGCAGUCGAGAAUAUUCCACAAUGGACGAAAGUCUGAUGGAGCGACACCGCGUGCGAGAUGAAGGCCUUAGGGUCGUAAAUCGCUUUUAUUAGGGAUCAAUGUACUGAGCGUACCUAAUGAAUAAGAGGUUACUAACUCUGUGCCAGCAGUAGCGGUAAUACAGAGACCUCAAGCGUUAUCCGGAUUUAUUGGGCGUAAAGCGUAUGUAGGCGGGUGUGUUAGUCGUGGGUCAAAUUUUCGAGCUCAACUCGAAACCUGCUCACGAAACGGCACAUCUAGAGAAAGUGAGAGAUAACUGGAACUCAUGGUGUAGUAGUGAAAUGCGUUGAUAUCAUGGGGAACACCAAAGGCGAAGGCAGGUUAUUGGCACUUUUCUGACGCUGAGAUACGAAAGCGUGGGUAGCGAAUGGGAUUAGAUACCCCAGUAGUCCACGCCGUAAACGCUGCAUACUCGGCAUAUGGAGUAUCGACCCUCUGUGUGUCUUAGCUAACGCGUUAAGUAUGCCGCCUGGGAAGUACGAGCGCAAGCUUAAAACUCAGAGGAAUAGACGGGGAUCCGCACAAGUGGUGGAGCAUGUGGUUUAAUUCGUCAAUAAGCGAGAAACCUCACCAGGGCUAGAAACUUAGCUGCAUAUCUUGGAAACAAGAUAGCCUUCGAGGGUGCUAAGCAGGUGCUGCAUGGUCGUCGUCAGCUCGUGCCGUAAGGUGUUCCUUUAAGUAGGGAAACGAGCGCAACCCUUGUCGCGUGUUAUAUGUGUCACGCGAGACUGCCCAGACUUUAGUUCAUGAAAUUAUUUCGUGCAUUAAAGUCUGGGAGGAAGGAGAGGAUGACGUCAGAUCAGCAUGGCCCUUGACGCCCUGGGCAACACACGUGCUACAAUGGCUAGGAUAAAGGGUUGCCAAACCGCGAGGUGGAGCCAAUCUCAAAAACCUAGUCUCAGUUCGGAUUGGAGUCUGCAACUCGACUCCAUGAAGUCGGAAUCACUAGUAAUCGCGAAUCAGAAUGUCGCGGUGAAUACGUUCUCGGAUCUUGUACUCACCGCCCGUCACACCAAGAGAGCUGAUAAUACCCGAAGGUCCCGUGUUAAAGCGGGGACUACGGUAAGAUUGGUAAUAAGGGUGAAGUCGUAACAAGGCAUCCGUAGCGGAAGCUGUGGAUGGAUCACCUCCUUU
rnacentral:rRNA from 1 species